rnacentral:ncRNA from 1 species
GAACGCCGUAUGCGGUGAAAAUCGCACGUACGGUGUGGAGCAGGGGAAAAGGUGGAGAUUGCCUCAAAACCUUACCUAUUGCUAU